UAGGGAAUCUUCGGCGAUGGGGGCGAACCCUGACCGAGCAACGCCGCGUGAGUGAAGAAGGUUUUCGGAUCGUAAAGCUCUGUUGUAAGAGAAGAACGUGUGUGAGAGUGGAAAGUUCACACAGUGACGGUAACUUACCAGAAAGGGACGGCUAACUACGUGCCAG
rnacentral:rRNA from 1 species